rnacentral:lncRNA from 1 species
CAAGCUGCUGUAUGCGUGCAAUAGAGUUCAACAACGAUAAGUUUUAAUAUCCUAGUGAAGAGAUAAUUGAUCCGAAUAUCUUUCUCCAUCUUCUGAAAAAAGUCAUUGACUCGACGCACCCUGCUUAACCUAAUCCAUAAAAGGUAUCUCAAUCCCUCUUUUUUGCCAGCAGCCUGAUUAUUUCAACAUUGACUCGACGCACCCUGCUUAACCUAAUCCAUAAAAGGUAUCUCAAUCCCUCUUUUUUGCCAGCAGCCUGAUUAUUUCAAAUGGAACAGCUUUAGUUUAAAAAAGCAUAACUUGAACCAAGUACUCCAUCGAACAUGAAAUGCAGGUAUCAGUUCAUUUAAAAUUUUGGUCUUGGCCAUGAGUAUAACUAAUAGGAAAUAAAGAAGAAAAAAAGGGCUUCCACUCCAUUGUCUUGCUGACAAGAAAGCUUUCGUUUCUCUUUACUAGGUUGCAUGGAACUUAAUGGAGGAGAGGAGCAUAUUAAGACAAGUGAGCUUGUCAAUUUAUUUAAGUAGAGUUAUGCCUCUGAGCCUCUUAAGAAUGGAUGCUUACAUUUACAAGCUAUGGAGAGAUG